GUGCUUAACACAUGCAAGUCGAACGGAAAGGUCUCUUCGGAGAUACUCGAGUGGCGAACGGGUGAGUAACACGUGGGCGAUCUGCCCUGCACUUCGGGAUAAGCCUGGGAAACUGGGUCUAAUACCGGAUAGGACCACGGGAUUCAUGUCCUGUGGUGGAAAGCUUUUGCGGUGUGGGAUGGGCCCGCGGCCUAUCAGCUUGUUGGUGGGGUAACGGCCUACCAAGGCGACGACGGGUAGCCGGCCUGAGAGGGUGUCCGGCCACACUGGGACUGAGAUACGGCCCAGACUCCUACGGGAGGCAGCAGUGGGGAAUAUUGCACAAUGGGCGCAAGCCUGAUGCAGCGACGCCGCGUGGGGGAUGACGGCCUUCGGGUUGUAAACCUCUUUCACCAUCGACGAAGGUUCGGGUUUUCUCGGAUUGACGGUAGGUGGAGAAGAAGCACCGGCCAACUACGUGCCAGCAGCCGCGGUAAUACGUAGGGUGCGAGCGUUGUCCGGAAUUACUGGGCGUAAAGAGCUCGUAGGUGGUUUGUCGCGUUGUUCGUGAAAUCUCACGGCUUAACUGUGAGCGUGCGGGCGAUACGGGCAGACUAGAGUACUGCAGGGGAGACUGGAAUUCCUGGUGUAGCGGUGGAAUGCGCAGAUAUCAGGAGGAACACCGGUGGCGAAGGCGGGUCUCUGGGCAGUAACUGACGCUGAGGAGCGAAAGCGUGGGGGAGCGAACAGGAUUAGAUACCCUGGUAGUCCACGCCGUAAACGGUGGGUACUAGGUGUGGGUUUCCUUCCUUGGGAUCCGUGCCGUAGCUAACGCAUUAAGUACCCCGCCUGGGGAGUACGGCCGCAAGGCUAAAACUCAAAGGAAUUGACGGGGGCCCGCACAAGCGGCGGAGCAUGUGGAUUAAUUCGAUGCAACGCGAAGAACCUUACCUGGGUUUGACAUGCACAGGACGCGUCUAGAGAUAGGCGUUCCCUUGUGGCCUGUGUGCAGGUGGUGCAUGGCUGUCGUCAGCUCGUGUCGUGAGAUGUUGGGUUAAGUCCCGCAACGAGCGCAACCCUUGUCUCAUGUUGCCAGCACGUAAUGGUGGGGACUCGUGAGAGACUGCCGGGGUCAACUCGGAGGAAGGUGGGGAUGACGUCAAGUCAUCAUGCCCCUUAUGUCCAGGGCUUCACACAUGCUACAAUGGCCGGUGCAAAGGGCUGCGAUGCCGCGAGGUUAAGCGAAUCCUUUAACGCCGGUCUCAGUUCGGAUCGGGGUCUGCAACUCGACCCCGUGAAGUCGGAGUCGCUAGUAAUCGCAGAUCAGCAACGCUGCGGUGAAUACGUUCCCGGGCCUUGUACACACCGCCCGUCACGUCAUGAAAGUCGGUAACACCCGAAGCCAGUGGCCUAACCCUUUUUUGGGAGGGAGCUGUCGAAGGUGGGAUCGGCGAUUGGGACG
rnacentral:rRNA from 1 species